GCACGAGUUACUGUCUCUCCUCCCUUCACUGCCGGUGUACACGAGUCACUUUUUCCUCCUCUCACUGCCUGUGGUUGGUUCCUCAAGCUACCGUCCUGUUUAGUGGCAAUCCAAAAGUUGUAUGUGAAUGAGAGAGAUUAUCUCCUUCGUCGGAUCAAUCCAAACCUUUUCCGGAGACCUUUGGUGACCUCUCUAUGACACAGUCACGGACAGCUACCGGCGUCGUGGGGUUUAACCACAUGGAAGAGCAAGCAUGGGGGCUCCCCGACGGUGCCCAUAUGAAUCAACUCCUCGAACGUGGUCCAGACAAAUUAGAGUAACACACCAGUAUUAUCAACCCAUGGAAGAAACAUUUAUUUAUCAUGAUGAAACGAGCAAGUUAUACAGCAGCCUUUAAAAGAAAAGUCACAUCUGUUUUGUUUUCUCCUGGAUUCUGAGCAAGACCAACGCGUGGAUCAACAAAACGUGGCCCAACUGUGUUCAAAACAUGGUCGGAGAGAUCGACCUUGUUUCCACUGGUUUUGUGUCAGACUGGUCAUUGCACCAUCUUUCUGGAGUUUGAUGGCAAGCUACAACUUGGAUCUUGAGUGGGAUAGCCUGGAUACCUCUUUGCUGCAUUCCCUUGGUGUGGUAGGACCAAACACUUGGAACUAAUACCUCACCAUUUAGCAUUACACUGUGCAUUACAUCGACAAGACUUUGACAGUUUUUUUUUUAUGGACUUGUGUUGACUAAUAUGCCGGGAACUGUGAACUGAAUAUGUUUUUGUUAGGACAUUAGGACAUUUCUUGACUGAGCAAGUGCAUAUGUGUAUUUUCGAACAAGGGUAGGGACAAAUUUCCUAUGGUUAAAAAAAAAAAAAAAAGUAUUUGAAGCUUGUAAUUGUGCCACAUUUUUUGGUUCAAAGGUUUGAAAUUUAGAAAUUCCAAUCACACUGCAAGGUAUUUCCUAAACAUUCUAAUGUUUUGACCCUGCCUCUUAAAAGAAUCUGAAUUGAGAAUCGUUCGGAACUGGGAUCGUUCAAUUUCAAACGAUGCCCAAUCCUAGUUCUAAUGAUAUUCCCUUGCACAACACUAUAGAGGAAGUUAUUGUGUUUACCUGGCUGAUCAUUGAAAAGCCUGGACUAGACCUUUUUCUAUUUGCUGCAUAUUCUUGACUCUCAAUCCCUCCGACUGCUUCCUCAGCUUUUUUCCCCCUCUAACUGGGUUUUGCAGAUUCCUGUGUUUAGCCUGGCAGCCCGGGAGAAGUCGUUUUACAGUUCAAUCAGGAAUUCUAAUAAACUGACCUGCACUUUAAUGACUAAUUCAUUGUCUCCUUUACUACCUUCAUGGGUAUAAAGCGGAUUAAUGACUUGAGCAAGGUUAAAAACAGUACCACUGUGCUUUGCCGCCGUCCACCAUCCAUCAUCCUUUAGAUUCUUCAGAGAGCAGCGGAAAUUGAAGGAAAAAUUAGUUAUGCUUUUGAUGGAUGAUGGCAUAGGUGGGCAAAGAUUUAAGUGAGGCUUAAAGCAUUGAUGGCGAAGAAGCUUUCUUUGCGGGCAGCCAUAGUGACGGGAGGAUUCCCAUUUGUGGCCACCAAACUCUUUAACAACCUGGAAGCCAUAUACCUGUAUAUGAUGUCAUCAGAUAUGUGCUCAAUAGAACACCUGUAGUCUAUUAUUUUUUUCUUGAUGUGUGCCAUGCGUCCUCAAUAAAAUAAAAGUAGACCUCAUCUCAGCAAGCAUCUUAUGAAAUAUUUUUGAGUGUGUCUGGCAUUUUUGUCCAUUUUCUUGUAUACUUCUGGUAUGCACCUACAGUCAUGGAGGAAAUUAUUGGCACCCCUGGGAUUUUUCCAGAAAUUACAGCAUUUCUCACAGAAAUUAAUGCAAUCGCAUGCCUCAAGCAACACGUCACUUUUGCUCAUUAAUAUUCAUGAUGUUAGCAAUUGUUCCUACACGGGACAUCCUCCCGUUUGUCCCUAAUAGUAAAUGAAUAGAAACAGUGUACGAACGAGAUUUUUACUGAGCUAAACCUACCAAUUCUUUCCGAAAAUGAUGUCCCUGGUACCAAAUUUACUGGUAAAGAUGUGGAAGAACAUACAAACGUUCAGUUGAAAAGAUGGCUUGAGUGUCAAGGGCUGAAAAUGAGCCGACCUGAUCCAGUG